UGCCAGCCGCCGCGGUAAUACAGAGGGUGCGAGCGUUAAUCGGAAUUACUGGGCGUAAAGGGCGCGUAGGCGGCCCGAUAAGUCGGAUGUGAAAGCCCCGGGCUCAACCUGGGAACUGCAUUCGAUACUGCCAAGCUAGAGUAUGGAAGAGGGAAGUGGAAUUCCGGGUGUAGCGGUGAAAUGCGUAGAUAUCCGGAGGAACACCAGUGGCGAAGGCGACUUCCUGGGCCAAUACUGACGCUGAGGCGCGAAAGCGUGGGGAGCAAACAGGAUUAGAUA
rnacentral:rRNA from 1 species